rnacentral:rRNA from 1 species
UACGGAGGGUGCAAGCGUUAUCCGGAUUCACUGGGUUUAAAGGGUGCGUAGGAGGGCAGGUAAGUCAGUGGUGAAAUCCCCGAGCUUAACUUGGGAACUGCCGUUGAUACUAUCUGUCUUGAAUGCUGUGGAGGUGAGCGGAAUAUGUCAUGUAGCGGUGAAAUGACUUAGAUAUGACAUAGAACACCAAUUGCGAAAGGCAGCUCGCUACACAGUUAUUGACUCUGAGGCACGAAAGCGUGGGGAUCAAACAGG